rnacentral:rRNA from 1 species
CCAAUAGCGUAUAUUAAAGUUGUUGCAGUUAAAAAGCUCGUAGUUGAACUUCGGGGUUUACUUAUUGGUCAGGCUUAAUUGUCUGUACUGGUGAGAUGAAUCUCUACCUUCUGAGGAACUUUCAUGUCAUUUAUUUGGUGUGAUUGGAAAUCAGGACUGUUACUUUGAAAAAAUUAGAGUGUUUAAAGCAGGCUAACGUCUGAAUACAUUAGCAUGGAAUAAUGAAAUAGGACGGACUGAUUCUAUUUCGUUGGUUUCUAGGAUCACCGUAAUGAUUAAUAGGGAUAGUUGGGGGCAUUAGUAUUCAAUUGUCAGAGGUGAAAUUCUUGGAUUUAUUGAAGACUAACUACUGCGAAAGCAUUUGCCAAGGAUGUUUUCAUUAAUCAAGAACGAAAGUUAGGGGAUCGAAGACGAUCAGAUACCGUCGUAGUCUUAACCAUAAACUAUGCCGACUAGGGAUCGGACGAAGUUAAUUUUAUAAUGACGCGUUCGGCACCUUACG